rnacentral:rRNA from 1 species
CCGAGAUUCCCCCAGUAGCGGCGAGCGAACGGGGAGCAGCCCAGAGCCUGAAUCAGUGUGUGUGUUAGUGGAAGCGUCUGGAAAGGCGUGCGAUACAGGGUGACAGCCCCGUACACAAAAAUGCACAUACUGUGAGCUCGAUGAGUAGGGCGGGACACGUGGUAUCCUGUCUGAAUAUGGGGGGACCAUCCUCCAAGGCUAAAUACUCCUGACUGACCGAUAGUGAACCAGUACCGUGAGGGAAAGGCGAAAAGAACCCCGGCGAGGGGAGUGAAAAAGAACCUGAAACCGUGUACGUACAAGCAGUGGGAGCACGCUUAGGCGUGUGACUGCGUACCUUUUGUAUAAUGGGUCAGCGACUUAUAUUCUGUAGCAAGGUUAACCGAAUAGGGGAGCCGAAGGGAAACCGAGUCUUAACUGGGCGUUAAGUUGCAGGGUAUAGACCCGAAACCCGGUGAUCUAGCCAUGGGCAGGUUGAAGGUUGGGUAACACUAACUGGAGGACCGAACCGACUAAUGUUGAAAAAUUAGCGGAUGACUUGUGGCUGGGGGUGAAAGGCCAAUCAAACCGGGAGAUAGCUGGUUCUCCCCGAAAGCUAUUUAGGUAGCGCCUCGUGAAUUCAUCUCCGGGGGUAGAGCACUGUUUCGGCAAGGGGGUCAUCCCGACUUACCAACCCGAUGCAAACUGCGAAUACCGGAGAAUGUUAUCACGGGAGACACACGGCGGGUGCUAACGUCCGUCGUGAAGAGGGAAACAACCCAGACCGCCAGCUAAGGUCCCAAAGUCAUGGUUAAGUGGGAAACGAUGUGGGAAGGCCCAGACAGCCAGGAUGUUGGCUUAGAAGCAGCCAUCAUUUAAAGAAAGCGUAAUAGCUCACUGGUCGAGUCGGCCUGCGCGGAAGAUGUAACGGGGCUAAACCAUGCACCGAAGCUGCGGCAGCGACGCUUAUGCGUUGUUGGGUAGGGGAGCGUUCUGUAAGCCUGUGAAGGUGUGCUGUGAGGUAUGCUGGAGGUAUCAGAAGUGCGAAUGCUGACAUAAGUAACGAUAAAGCGGGUGAAAAGCCCGCUCGCCGGAAGACCAAGGGUUCCUGUCCAACGUUAAUCGGGGCAGGGUGAGUCGACCCCUAAGGCGAGGCCGAAAGGCGUAGUCGAUGGGAAACAGGUUAAUAUUCCUGUACUUGGUGUUACUGCGAAGGGGGGACGGAGAAGGCUAUGUUGGCCGGGCGACGGUUGUCCCGGUUUAAGCGUGUAGGCUGGUUUUCCAGGCAAAUCCGGAAAAUCAAGGCCGAGGCGUGAUGACGAGGCACUACGGUGCUGAAGCAACAAAUGCCCUGCUUCCAGGAAAAGCCUCUAAGCAUCAGGUAACAUCAAAUCGUACCCCAAACCGACACAGGUGGUCAGGUAGAGAAUACCAAGGCGCUUGAGAGAACUCGGGUGAAGGAACUAGGCAAAAUGGUGCCGUAACUUCGGGAGAAGGCACGCUGAUACGUAGGUGAAGCGACUUGCUCGUGGAGCUGAAAUCAGUCGAAGAUACCAGCUGGCUGCAACUGUUUAUUAAAAACACAGCACUGUGCAAACACGAAAGUGGACGUAUACGGUGUGACGCCUGCCCGGUGCCGGAAGGUUAAUUGAUGGGGUUAGCGCAAGCGAAGCUCUUGAUCGAAGCCCCGGUAAACGGCGGCCGUAACUAUAACGGUCCUAAGGUAGCGAAAUUCCUUGUCGGGUAAGUUCCGACCUGCACGAAUGGCGUAAUGAUGGCCAGGCUGUCUCCACCCGAGACUCAGUGAAAUUGAACUCGCUGUGAAGAUGCAGUGUACCCGCGGCAAGACGGAAAGACCCCGUGAACCUUUACUAUAGCUUGACACUGAACAUUGAGCCUUGAUGUGUAGGAUAGGUGGGAGGCUUUGAAGUGUGGACGCCAGUCUGCAUGGAGCCGACCUUGAAAUACCACCCUUUAAUGUUUGAUGUUCUAACGUGGACCCGUGAUCCGGGUUGCGGACAGUGUCUGGUGGGUAGUUUGACUGGGGCGGUCUCCUCCUAAAGAGUAACGGAGGAGCACGAAGGUUGGCUAAUCCUGGUCGGACAUCAGGAGGUUAGUGCAAUGGCAUAAGCCAGCUUGACUGCGAGCGUGACGGCGCGAGCAGGUGCGAAAGCAGGUCAUAGUGAUCCGGUGGUUCUGAAUGGAAGGGCCAUCGCUCAACGGAUAAAAGGUACUCCGGGGAUAACAGGCUGAUACCGCCCAAGAGUUCAUAUCGACGGCGGUGUUUGGCACCUCGAUGUCGGCUCAUCACAUCCUGGGGCUGAAGUAGGUCCCAAGGGUAUGGCUGUUCGCCAUUUAAAGUGGUACGCGAGCUGGGUUUAGAACGUCGUGAGACAGUUCGGUCCCUAUCUGCCGUGGGCGCUGGAGAACUGAGGGGGGCUGCUCCUAGUACGAGAGGACCGGAGUGGACGCAUCACUGGUGUUCGGGUUGUCAUGCCAAUGGCACUGCCCGGUAGCUAAAUGCGGAAGAGAUAAGUGCUGAAAGCAUCUAAGCACGAAACUUGCCCCGAGAUGAGUUCUCCCUGACCCUUUAAGGGUCCUGAAGGAACGUUGAAGACGACGACGUUGAUAGGCCGGGUGUGUAAGCGCAGCGAUGCGUUGAGCUAACCGGUACUAAUGAACCGUGAGGCUUAACCUUACAACGCCGAAG